AUUUAAAUAGUUUAAUAAAAAUUUUAAUUUGUGGAAUUAAAGAUACAUAAUAUGUUUUAAAUA
rnacentral:tRNA from 1 species